GCGUUCCAGAGACCAAAUUGGUUUUUGUUUUUUUUUACAAGAGGGGAUAAAAAAAGAGAGCAACUCGUUGCUCUCGAUUUUUUGAACUUCCAUCCUGGACCUCAG
rnacentral:rRNA from 1 species